rnacentral:rRNA from 1 species
GACGAACGCUGGCGGCGUGCCUAAUACAUGCAAGUAGAACGCUGAAGGAGGAGCUUGCUUCUCUGGAUGAGUUGCGAACGGGUGAGUAACGCGUAGGUAACCUGCCUGGUAGCGGGGGAUAACUAUUGGAAACGAUAGCUAAUACCGCAUAAGAGUAGAUGUUGCAUGACAUUUGCUUAAAAGGUGCAAUUGCAUCACUACCAGAUGGACCUGCGUUGUAUUAGCUAGUUGGUGAGGUAACGGCUCACCAAGGCAACGAUACAUAGCCGACCUGAGAGGGUGAUCGGCCACACUGGGACUGAGACACGGCCCAGACUCCUACGGGAGGCAGCAGUAGGGAAUCUUCGGCAAUGGACGGAAGUCUGACCGAGCAACGCCGCGUGAGUGAAGAAGGUUUUCGGAUCGUAAAGCUCUGUUGUAAGAGAAGAACGAGUGUGAGAGUGGAAAGUUCACGCUGUGACGGUAUCUA